GUUUUAGUAUAUUACAUUUGUGCAUAAUAAGUGUAUGUGUUACAGAUUUGGGUGUAUGAGACAGUCCCUGUACUGGGGGCCCGCUUUGCGCAGCGAGGGGAGACACGCUGCCCUCUGAUGCAUCAUUGGAGAUCAUCGCGAGCGGAGGGAUGUCCCACUGGGAAGCAAUUAUCGGCCUUCCUCGAUGAUCCUCAGGUAAGUAUUAUGCAUUUGUGAUUUAUAUUAUACGCAGUUUAAAAUUUUGUUUACAUGAUCGUUAAGUAGUUGAAAUGUCAAUAUGUCAGCUUGAAGUCAUACCUGAGUUGACGCUGUCGAUGGAAGAGGAGACUCGGGGUCUUGUGCGGAAUUUAGGCGUUUUGCACACUCUAGACGAGAAGAUGUCUGAUCCGAGUUUGGACCAAGAUUGGGUAUGUGAAUAAAAUAUAAUUUAUUGAAUAUCGUUGACGAAUAAAUUUAUUGAAUAAUUUUUAAUUUUAUUUAUGUAGGAGGGCGGUCCAGCUGAUCGACGAUCACCUCCGCCGAGGGUAUCACCGCCAUCAUUGGCAUCACCUCCGUCGAGGGCUUCACUGCUGCCAGUGGCAUCACCUCCGCCGGCGCCAUUGUCGCCGCCAUUGGCAUCACCUCCUUCCAGACACCUCCCCUGUGUGUUUCCGGGGCACCGUGAUGAUUUGUAUGUCCGUUUGACUGGAUUUAUAGCGGAGGAGGUCGGCGCGCUACGACGAGAUUUGACGGAGAGGGUCGAUGAUCUGGGACGAGAGUUGACAGGGAAGGUCAACGAUCUGGCAGGGAAGGUCGACUAUUUGACAGGAAGGGUCGACGAUAUGGGAUGAGAGUUGACGGGGAGGGUUGACGAUCUAUCCCAUGAUAUUGGAAUACUACAGUCUUUCGUUGUCGACCUUCAAGAUACAGUAGCGGCGCUUAGAGGAGAUUUAGCCGGCAGAUGAUGGGGGGACAGAGGGGAUGGCGGAGAUCAUGAUCAAGAGGGUGGCAGAGAUGGUAAUGGAGAGGAGGGUCACCCACAUUUUUUGCGUGAUGAUACAUUGGAGUUAUUGUGGUUGUCUAUAGAGGGGGUGGCCCCGAUGAGGAUAGGAGAGGGACUACGGAGGGGGUGGUCCCGACGGGAGGGGCGGAGGAGGUGGC
rnacentral:lncRNA from 1 species